GAUGAACGCUGACAGAAUGCUUAACACAUGCAAGUCAACUUGAAUUUGGGUUUUUAACUUAGGUUUGGGUGGCGGACGGGUGAGUAACGCGUAAAGAACUUGCCUCACAGCUAGGGACAACAUUUGGAAACGAAUGCUAAUACCUAAUAUUAUGAUAAUAGGGCAUCCUAUAAUUAUGAAAGCUAUAAGCGCUGUGAGAGAGCUUUGCGUCCCAUUAGCUAGUUGGAGAGGUAACGGCUCACCAAGGCGAUGAUGGGUAGCCGGCCUGAGAGGGUGAUCGGCCACAAGGGGACUGAGACACGGCCCUUACUCCUACGGGAGGCAGCAGUGGGGAAUAUUGGACGAUAGACCGAGAGUCUGAUCCAGCAAUUCUGUGUGCACGAUGAAGUUUUUCGGAAUGUAAAGUGCUUUCAGUUGGGAAGAAACAAAUGACGGUACCAACAGAAGAAGUGACGGCUAAAUACGUG
rnacentral:rRNA from 1 species